rnacentral:rRNA from 1 species
AGUGAACGCUGGCGGUAGGCCUAACACAUGCAAGUCGAACGGCAGCACAGUAAGAGCUUGCUCUUACGGGUGGCGAGUGGCGGACGGGUGAGGAAUACAUCGGAAUCUACUUUUUCGUGGGGGAUAACGUAGGGAAACUUACGCUAAUACCGCAUACGACCUACGGGUGAAAGCAGGGGAUCUUCGGACCUUGCGCGAUUGAAUGAGCCGAUGUCGGAUUAGCUAGUUGGCGGGGUAAAGGCCCACCAAGGCGACGAUCCGUAGCUGGUCUGAGAGGAUGAUCAGCCACACUGGAACUGAGACACGGUCCAGACUCCUACGGGAGGCAGCAGUGGGGAAUAUUGGACAAUGGGCGCAAGCCUGAUCCAGCCAUACCGCGUGGGUGAAGAAGGCCUUCGGGUUGUAAAGCCCUUUUGUUGGGAAAGAAAAGCAGGAGGUUAAUACCCCGCUGUUCUGACGGUACCCAAAGAAUAAGCACCGGCUAACUUCGUG